GAUGAACGCUGACAGAAUGCUUAACACAUGCAAGUCAACUGUGGCGGACGGGUGAGUAACGCGUAAAGAACUUGCCUCACAGAUAGGGACAACAUUUGGAAACGAAUGCUAAUACCUGAUACUGUGUGAGAGCUUUGCGUCCCAUUAGCUAGUUGGAGAGGUAACGGCUCACCAAGGCGAUGAUGGGUAGCCGGCCUGCGAGGGUGAUCGGCCACAAGGGGACUGAGCAACUGACCUUACUCCUACGGGAGGCAGCAGUGGGGAAUAUUGAACAAUGUACCAAAGUCUGAUCCAGCAAUUCUGUGUGCACGAUGAAGUUUUCGGAAUGUAAAGUGCUUUCAGUUGGGAAGCAGUACCAACAGAAGAAGUGACGGCUAAAUACGUGCCAGCAGCCGCGGUAAUUC
rnacentral:rRNA from 1 species